CACAACCAAUGGCCUCCACAUAUGAUGUGCAGAUCUUUUGAUUAAAAUGCAAUGGAAGAGAUUAGUCUGAAAUAAAACCUGGGAUCCUUUGAAACUGCUUUUGAUCUACACUAUGAAAGAACGGGAACUUGAAGCUGGAUCCUUGGCCCAGCCGGCUGGGAAAGCAGGCCAGUGGGGGAGCGGCGAGAGCUAAAAUCGGGAACACAGGAGCAGGCGGUGGUUCAGUGCAGCGCAGGACACCCAGCGAGGCUUCAGGGAGAACAACCCUUGACACAACCCCUCUGCACGAUGUCAUUGCACGGACAAGACUG
rnacentral:lncRNA from 1 species